UCUCUAUCUUUAUCACUCAUUCACUCUCCUUCUCUCUCUCUCUCUCUCUCUCUCUCUCUCUCUCUCUCUUCUCCAGAACCCCAUUUGUUUAUUUGAGUGUGGAAGAGCGAAAGAAAACGACGCAACAACACGCUGCAAUGUUGAUAGUUGAAAUUCUAUUUCUUUUACGAGACAUAGUCAUCGCUUGCGUGGCAGCGGUGUGGAAUUUCCUUAUCACACCCAAGUAUAAAGAUGUAAAAGAUGAAAUUGUCCUGAUCACUGGCUCUGCUAAUGGCAUCGGACGGGGCCUUGCCCUCGCUUUUGCUCGACGUGGUUGUAUCCUGGUCUUGUGGGACAUUGAUGAAGCAGAAAACGAGAAGACAGCCCAAUUGGUUACGGAGGCAGGGGCUAAGGCUUAUCCGUACUACUGUGACUUAAGUAAAAGGAAAGAAAUCUAUAGAAUUGGUAAGAAAGUACAGAAGGAAGUUGGAGAUGUUACUAUUUUAGUCAACAAUGCCGGUGUUGUGAUUGGGAAAAGUUUUUUGGAAUGUCCAGAUGAAGAAAUUGAAAAUUCCUUUCAAGUAAAUACGCUUGCUUACUUUUGGACUAUAAAAGUAUUUCUACCAAAAAUGAUUGAGAAAAACUAUGGGCAUAUUGUGAACAUGUCAAGUUCUUUGGGCCUAACAGGAAUAAAUAAGUUAACUGAUUAUUGCUCCACAAAAUUUGCUGUGGUUGGCUUCAACGAAGUCUUAAGCUAUGAACUUCAACAUGACCAGUAUGAUGGCAUUAAGACUACCCUGAUAUGCCCACAGUGUGUCAAAACACGUAUGUUUGAAGGUUGUAAAUUAAGAUUUCCUCCUAUCUGCCCAUUUAUGGAAUUGGAUUAUGUUGUGAAUAAGUCAAUGCAGGCCAUUCUGACUAACCAGUACAUACUCUGUUUACCAAGACUUGUAUACUUUCAAGCUGUAUUUAAAGCCAGUUUGUUUAAUGGUGCUAAGAGUUCAUGCAUUCUUGGAAUAUACAUUUGAUAAUAACUUGCAAGACCUAGAAAAGCUUGUAAGGUCGUUAUAUUAGUUGGAGGAGGCAUAUCUUUAAUUGCGUCUGCCCUCGAUGGGUCCGGUCAUCAUCCAUUCCUGUCGAUAAUUUGUCCUAAAUACUUAAUUUCAGAAUUUUACCAACUGAAGCCUGGAUUGCCUCUUGUAGGUUUUUUGGUACCAUGACUUUUAUGGAUAGUUUUGUUGGUAAUAAAAA
rnacentral:misc_RNA from 1 species